AAGAAGAAGAAAAAGGACAUACUGUACAGGUCCAAACCAACAUGCGGGCCGAUAUCUCCCUGCAGGGCCUAAGAGGGGUGGCAAACGCCCGGCUAUGGAUGGCCUACAAAUACACUCAACACUCCUUUAAGUGAUAGUCUCACUUUUUGCAUGCAGAAUAGAUUUUCAGACUGGAUUUUCAAAA